CUUCCCUGAGGCGGGAUUCGUCGAAGUCAGUUGGAUUGGCAGGGCACGCAGCCAAUGAGUAGCGCGGACCCCCCAAGUAGGGCGGGGAAGAAAGGAUUGGGGCGUGGCGCUGGAAGGAGUCGCGGAAGCUGAGCCGGGAGAAGGGAACCAUGUAGACGGUUCGCUCAGUUCUUAAAUCCUAAAAUGUCGAUCAGUUACUAGUGUCUCGGCCAACCUAGCUCGCUGGGGCGGGGCAAUUCGUUCUGAGUUGGUGGCACCGAAGAACUAGAGCCAGAGCUGGCUUUUUUCUUCUGCCCGCUUGUGGGCGUUGGCUUGGCGUGGCCUGGCGGAAUACGAGGAUCAAACCAAAAAUUUCUAUUGAAGUUGCCUUAAAUGAUGAUUUUUAAAGCUUGGCUAUCAGCAUUCAACUGAAAUACAAUUCACAAAUCCUACUAUUUACAUAGAAAUUACUACUGAUUUUCAACAGGUACAAGCUUCAUAAAGAUUGUGGAUUGAAGAGGUAAUGUUGCCCUGAAGAGAGGAGUGGAGUCAGUAGCAGCCUGUAAUUUGAGAACCUAUCAGCAAACUGGAGUUCAAUUUCUUAUUAUAUUUAAGAUCUCUAUGAAUACUGCCACUUUAUAAUUCUUAGGAUGUACCCAGUCCCAAAACAUUUCUCCAAUCACCUGUUACUAAAAUUUCACCAUCUGUUUCUUUGAAUCUUAAAACACUCAGUCUUUAAAAGUUCUAUUUGAAUUGUAGAUACACAAUAAUUGGAAUAGGACACUACCUUGCCUUGUAUGGAAGGCUAACGGUCCCAAACCUGGAAGAGAGACUUUUCUAGAAAAGUGAAUCUGUGUAAUAGCAGACAAACUGUACCUUCUUCAGUUUUGUAGAGUGCUAACCUCAAAGACAAGCCUCUUGUAGAAUACUCCGAAAUAAUUUAAAAGAAGUAAAAGUAAAAGUUGCUCAGUUGGGUCCGGCUCUUUGCGACCCCAUGGACUAUACAGACCAUAGAAUUCUCUAGGCCAGAAUACUAGAGUGCAUAGCCUUUCCCUUCUCCAGGCGAUCUUCCUAACCCAGGGAUUGAACCCAGGUCUCCUGCAUUGCAGGCGAAUGUAUAGUCCAUCGGGUCGCAGUCAGACUCAACAACUUUCACAAAAGAAGUGAAGGUGUUAUCUUAUAUAUGGAGAAUCAAAUUCAAUACACCAUCAUUGCUAAUACUUAUUAACUUCUGUGAAAUUAUGGCACUUAUCUUUCAGAACUUACCUGAAAUGAAGAGAAAACUCAUUGCUGAUCACUUGAAAAAAAAAAAACAAUUUUUUAAACUCUCAAACAGAAAUUUAACAAAAUGAACUACAUUGAUAAGGUAGCUAUUUCUCUGAGUAAAUUGUUAUUUUGAGAAAUAGAUUAAGCCUCUAAAAGAACUAAAUACUAUGUCAGUGAAUUUUUAUAAAUAAUUACCUAUUUUUAUAUUAUGAGGAAACCUAAUUUGUUACCAUCUGUCUGCCAUGAGAUAGUACUUUUCUAGUCAUUCUGUAUUGAAAGAAACCAGGAUUUGGAAAUAAGAAUUUUAGUUAAUUCUUUGUGCACUUCUUAAGGUGCUCAGGAAUACUAUAAUUAGCUAUAUCAGAUACUUUAUUAUUCUGGUAUUAUAGAAUGAAAGGAACAGAUAACUUUUCAGCCAAAUAAUUUUUUCAAAAGAGCAAGGUUAGAAAAGUACAGUAUAAAAAAAGUAAUAUAAAGACAUUUUAAAUUCUGAACAUAGAGGAGGAAAUUUUAUUAGAUAAAGCAUGGAUUAAAAAAUGUAACAAAUUCUCUAUGUAACCCAAUACUCCAUUUUAUACUAAUAUACAGAAAGUAGUCACAUUAUAGAAUGCAUUUAUAUCAUUUAUAAUUAUUAUGAUUUAUUACAUUUGUAGUUUAGUACAGUCAAAAUUUAAGCCAUGUUUCUCUUGUAAAUCUAAUUCCACCAGUAAUCAAAAAUUGUUGAGUUUCUACUACAUUGAUCUGGCACCUUGAAUUAUUGAUAGUAUUCUUUUAUCUUUACUGUUUUCUGUUUACUUGUUAGAAGUCUGCAGUUCUAUAUGCUUGUUCAUAUUUCUAGAAGAAACUGGCUAUAGUUUUUGUUUUUUAGACUGUAACACUUCUCUAAGUUUAUUUGUUUUAUUUCUCUUAAAGCAGAUGAAUUCUUAUGAAUUUGAAAUCUUUAGUGGAUUUCUUAUCUCCCUUCUCACCCCUGUACCCAGUAUCACAUUUUAAUUAACUUUUUCUGAUUUUUUGUUAGUCUAAUUAUGAGAAUAUUCAUGUUAUUAUCCUGCUUUAUAUCUAGAGAUGUUAAAUGACUUAAAUUCUGCAUCUGCUCUUAAGUAUGCUCUUAAGUUAGAUCUCUUUGUGCAACUCCCUAUUAAAACAUUUGAUGGCAUGGGCAUAAAAACAAAAUAACCAUUUCUGAAUAUAUACAUCUUGAUAUUCCAGAUGAAACAAUAAUGAUUAUGAUGAUGAUAUUGAGUUGACUACACAGUUAACCAAAACUACAAAUAUAUUCACAAUAUGCAAAUAAUAUGGCUGUAAGAUUAGUAUGGUUGAUAAAUGUAUGUAUAUCUAUCAUCAGGUUAAAAUAUCAUCAAACAUUUCUUUUUCCCAUGAAAGCUUUUUUUAAACAUGUUAACAGUUGUUUCAUUCAAUACUUAGUUGAAUUUUGUCUUGAAAUUUGAAAACUGAGAAGCAUGGUAUUAUGUAUUAAUACCAAGAAUAAAGGUUUAACAGAAGCUUAUUCUGCCUAUUAGGUUACAUUGCUAAGUUGAAAAGAAAAUGUGACUUGAUACA